rnacentral:rRNA from 1 species
AUGUGAAUCAUCAAUCUUUGAACGCACAUUGCGCGGUAUGGCACUCCGUACCGCACGGGUGGAAGAGCGUGUUCCCUCUGGGAUCGCAGCGCUUUCCUGAAAUGCAUUGACUACUUCAAUACACACAUUUCACCUCUUUCACCCGAGAUUACCCGCUGAACUUAAGCAUAUCAAUAAGCGGAGGAAAAGAAACCAACAGGGAUUGCCUCAGUAACGGCGAGUGAAGCGGCAAAAGCUCAAAUUUGAAACCCUCGGGAUUGUAAUUUGAAGACCUGGCAUUGGAGAAAGCUACCCCAAGUUGCUUGGAAUAGUACGUCAUAGAGGGUGACAACCCCGUCUGGCUAACCGUUCUCCAUGUAUUGCCUUGUCAAAGAGUCGAGUUGUUUGGGAAUGCAGCUCAAAGUGGGUGGUAAACUCCAUCUAAAGCUAAAUACCGGUGAGAGACCGAUAGCGAACAAGUACUGUGAAGGAAAGGUGAAAAGAACUUUGAAAAGAGAGUGAAAUAGUAUGUGAAAUUGUUGAUAGGGAAGGAAAUGAGUGGAGAGUGGAGGAGGUUUCAGCCGUCUUUCGAGGCGGUGUACUGCCGAGUCCGAGUCAUUGUCAGCGAGACGGGGUAUACAAACGAGUGGCACUUGUGCUUCCCACCUAUACCCGCCCACUGCCGACAACGACAUAAUCCAGCCAUUUCACCCGUCUUGAAAACA